UACGUAGGGGGGCAAGCGUUGUCCGGAAUUAUUGGGCGUAAAGAGCUCGUAGGCGGUUUGUCGCGUCUGCUGUGAAAACCUAAGGCUCAACCUUGGGCUUGCAGUGGGUACGGGCAGACUAGAGUGCGGUAGGGGGUGACUGGAAUUCCUGGUGUAGCGGUGGAAUGCGCAGAUAUCAGGAGGAACACCGAUGGCGAAGGCAGGUCACUGG
rnacentral:rRNA from 1 species